rnacentral:rRNA from 1 species
UACGAAGGGUGCAAGCGUUACUCGGAAUUACUGGGCGUAAAGCGUGCGUAGGUGGUUUGUUAAGUCUGAUGUGAAAGCCCUGGGCUCAACCUGGGAAUUGCAUUGGAUACUGGCAGGCUAGAGUGCGGUAGAGGAUAGCGGAAUUCCUGGUGUAGCAGUGAAAUGCGUAGAGAUCAGGAGGAACAUCUGUGGCGAAGGCGGCCACCUGGACCAGCACUGACACUGAGGCACGAAAGCGUGGGGAGCAAACAGG